rnacentral:rRNA from 1 species
CUACGGGUGGCUGCAGCCGAGAAUAUUGGACAAUGGGCGAAAGCCUGAUCCAGCGACAUUGCGUGGAGGAUGAAGACGUUCGCGCCGUAAACUCCUUUUAUAGGGGAAGAAGUCAUUGACGGUACCCUAUGAAUAAGCGGGGGCUAAUUCUGUGCCAGCAGCAGCGGUAAUACAGAACCCGCGAGCGUUAUCCGGAUUUAUUGGGCGUAAAGUGUUCGGAGGCGGUUUGGAAAGUCUGAUAUUAAAUACCCGGGCUCAACCCGGGACGUGUAUCGGAUACUUCCAUGACUUGAAGAUGUUAGGGGCUAUCGGAACGCACGGUGUAGGGGUGAAAUCCGUUGAUAUCGUGCGGAACACCAAAAGCGAAGGCGGAUAGCUGGGGCAUUCUUGACGCUGAGGAACGAAAGCGUGGGUAGCGAAAAGGAUUAGAUACCCUCGUAGUC